ACGACCUUACUUGAACGGGAUCUGUUCUAUAGAGUCGUACCUCGGUAUCCUUUAGCACAAAAUUGACAGAAUCACAAGUCUGGUUGAUGAACCAUGGCCUUGUGACCAGAGCGUGAUUAACAGUUUCCUUGGUCCCUGGGGUCCAAGCCGAAGCCGUAGAGGAUCGUUCUCAGCUUGGUCACAUCUUGGCUGGGAUGGUCACAAGGUUGUCUGACAGACC
rnacentral:snoRNA from 1 species